UAAACGUAGGCAUCUCCAACUCCUUUCUCCUUCAUUUUUCUCCAUCAAAACCCUAGCCCCCAUUCUUAUUUAUCUCUCACAACACUAAGAAUGCAGCGGUUAAUGAUGGCGGAGAAACCACAGACAACAAGGGGCAGAUGUGACACGGUAAGGGUUCCUCCUAAUCCUAUGGUGGCAGGGAUGUGGCGGCUCAGAUCGUACACCGGUGACACCUCCGGUCGCCGCAUCUCCGACGAACACCUUCCUCUCCACCUUAAAAACCUACCACACCUACAAACACCCAACCCCCACCACUAAUUAUACCCUCCGCGUUCCUCAAAUAAACGGCCAGCCACCACCAUUUGGUGGUGGCGUACGGCAGCAACGAGAAGAGAGAGAGAAGGAACGAUUAGUUGCGGUGACGAUUAGGAGCGGCGGCGGCUGCACCGGCAUCUCUGGCAGCCGGAAAAAAUGAGGCGAUGUGGUGGCAGCGGUUAUGAUUGUUCGGACGACAGCAGGAGAGAGAUAGACGAGAUAGAGACAGGUGGUCUCUGGCCACCUGGUUGCGACGGCAGCGACGGGGUUUCAAUCGGAGGGGCAGGAAGGUGGUUCGAGUGAGGGUAUGGUGGAUGAUCGAUAUGUGAUGACGAUGGUGGUGAUGCAGCGACGAGCAGAACAGUGGCGACUGGUUGCGGCGGAGGUGGUGGUGUCGGAGCUGACAACAACAGCAUAGCAGCAGAAGUGUUCAAAUAGAAACCCUCGGUCGGAGAUGAAGUUUUCCUCAAGCAUUCUAAACUCUACCGAGACUGUAGCAAGAGGAAGGGUCCAGAGCUUGGACCCAAAUGAUCUAGUUGGUGGUACAGAUAUUGGACUAGAAUAGUGUGAGGUAAACGUUCAAGUACCAAUAAAAAAAGAUGAAAACUUGGUAAGACCAUAUGGUUUAUUUUCUACAAUUCAAGAUUGUAUUGGUGCAUCCAUCCUAUCCAUUCAUCUCGGUAGUCCAUGAGGAUUGAGAACGCAUGAUGACUCAAGAUUUUAUACUUCUUAUUUCUUUAAUUGCUUUAAAUUUCUUUGUUAAAUGUUUAAGACUUUAUGUUAGAUAAUGUUAUAACUU